GAUUAGAUUUUCAGCUAAAGUUAUAGUCUUUGGCCUUUUGAAAAUUCAUGGUCUUACUUUCUUCUUUUAUUGUUGUUGUUGGAAGUAUCUGGAGUUCUGAAGCCUGCAUUAUCGGUUUAAUUUAGUUUAAGCGCAUUGGAUUUUGUUAACGAUUGCGUAUCUGAUUUGAAGAAUGCUUUAAUAAUUGGAAACAGAUCUGGUGAGAAUAUACCUGUGCUGCAUAUGUGACAUUCAGAGAUGCUUAUGCUCUUGAAACUGCUGUUUUGUCAGUAUAUGAAAAAGUUCGACACUUGGAUACUCAUAUUGGUCAACCUCAAUUUAGUCCUCCUACGUUUCUAUCUAUUCCUGUGCUGCAUGAAGUGACUCCAGUCGGAUAUCUUAUUGCACCGCCAGAAGGAAACCAAUUGGACCUCAGAGUGAUUGGAAGCUGAAUAAUAAUAUCCAUGUAUCCAAGAAGGAGCA